rnacentral:rRNA from 1 species
UACGAAGGGGGCUAGCGUUGCUCGGAAUCACUGGGCGUAAAGCGCACGUAGGCGGCUUGUUAAGUCAGGGGUGAAAUCCUGGAGCUCAACUCCAGAACUGCCUUUGAUACUGGCGAGCUUCGAGUCCGGGAGAGGUGAGUGGAACUGCGAGUGUAGAGGUGAAAUUCGUAGAUAUUCGCAAGAACACCAGUGGCGAAGGCGGCUCACUGGCCCGGUACUGACGCUGAGGUGCGAAAGCGUGGGGAGCAAACAGGG